UGGGCGUAAGCGCGCGCAGGUGGUUUCUUAAGUCUGAUGUGAAAGCCCACGGCUCAACCGUGGAGGGUCAUUGGAAACUGGGAGACUUGAGUGCAGAAGAGGAAAGUGGAAUUCCAUGUGUAGCGGUGAAAUGCGUAGAGAUAUGGAGGAACACCAGUGGCGAAGGCGACUUUCUGGUCUGUAACUGACACUGAGGCGCGAAAGCGUGGGGAGCAAACAGGAUUAGAUACCCUGGUAGUCCACGCCGUAUACGAUGAGUGCUAAGUGUUACAGG
rnacentral:rRNA from 1 species